UAUCGUUAAUGCUUUAUCGUUAAAUGGUAACUUGGCGCCAAUAAUUCAAUGUUUUAUUUUACAAUGCAGAUGUUUCAUUAAAUAAAAUAAAAUUAAAUGUUCACGCGAGUGUUUUUUUAUUUGUGAAGGAAGCUGAUAUUGUUUGGAUAAAGCCAUGAAUUCCUACAAAGAAGAUACAGUGUAGUAAAAAUUCGAGUCCCUGACUUAUGAAGGACAGAGGUAAACAAUUUGAAAAAAAAAUAAGAAGAAUCCAAACGAAUGCAGUACCAAAUCAGCAACACUGGGUGAUGAAACAGAAUUCCAAGUAUCAUCGUCCUCUGCUGAGGAUAAAAAGUAAUUUAGUGAUGUUUGAAAUAUUGCAAUUGAUGAUCCUGUGAAUUUAUCUGGACCAAGUAACCCGAAGCAAAGGCGAUAAUUUAAGGCAACUCGGAAAUAAUUUUCAAGACCGAAACUAAUUGCCAUACUUGACAAUAAUAGAUGGAACACCCGUUCGCCGUCAUCGAAUAGAAAUUGGCCAUGAACAUGCAAAAUAAUUAUGGAACGCUUAAUGACCACGAGUUCGAUGCAGUUAUAGUACAUUGGGAGAGAUAAUAUUUUAAGGGGACAGAAAAAGUGGAAAAAUCACAGGUAUUAAUUAGUUGCAAAAGUGUGGAAAAAUGAUGGCUAGUUACUAAAAUUUCGUUCAAGAGCGGAAGCGACUAAGCUUUUUCGGUUUGCGAUUUAUUGGAAGAAUGAGGAUAAGAAUAGGCAAUCUGAAAAAAAAAACUGUCAAUCUUCUGGAAGAAAUGUUGCAAACCACAGCAAACGACAUUAUUCAAUUUUCACGUUACAAAAAGGCCAACAACCAAGAGCAGGUUACAG